rnacentral:rRNA from 1 species
UACGAAGGGGGCUAGCGUUGCUCGGAAUCACUGGGCGUAAAGGGCUCGUAGGCGGCCAAUUAAGUCGGAUGUGAAAUCCCCAAGCUUAACUUGGGAACUGCAUCCGAUACUGGAUGGCUUGAAUCCGGGAGAGGGAUGCAGAAUUCCAGGUGUAGCGGUGAAAAUGCGUAGAUAUCUGGAGGAAUACCGGUGGCGAAGGCGGCAUCCUGGACCGGCAUUGACGCUGAGGAGCGAAAGCGUGGGGAGCAAACAGG